rnacentral:rRNA from 1 species
GGGUUGUGAGGUUAAGCGACUAAGCGUACACGGUGGAUGCCCUGGCAGUCAGAGGCGAUGAAGGACGUGCUAAUCUGCGAUAAGCGUCGGUGAGGUGAUAUGAACCGUUAUAACCGGCGAUUUCCGAAUGGGGAAACCCAGUGUGUUUCGACACACUAUCAUUAACUGAAUCCAUAGGUUAAUGAGGCGAACCGGGGGAACUGAAACAUCUAAGUACCCCGAGGAAAAGAAAUCAACCGAGAUUCCCCCAGUAGCGGCGAGCGAACGGGGAGGAGCCCAGAGCCUGAAUCAGUGUGUGUGUUAGUGGAAGCGUCUGGAAAGGCGCGCGAUACAGGGUGACAGCCCCGUACACAAAAAUGCACAUAUUGUGAGCUCGAUGAGUAGGGCGGGACACGUGGUAUCCUGUCUGAAUAUGGGGGGACCAUCCUCCAAGGCUAAAUACUCCUGACUGACCGAUAGUGAACCAGUACCGUGAGGGAAAGGCGAAAAGAACCCCGGCGAGGGGAGUGAAAAAGAACCUGAAACCGUGUACGUACAAGCAGUGGGAGCCUCUUAAUGGGGUGACUGCGUACCUUUUGUAUAAUGGGUCAGCGACUUAUAUUCUGUAGCAAGGUUAACCGAAUAGGGGAGCCGAAGGGAAACCGAGUCUUAACUGGGCGUUAAGUUGCAGGGUAUAGACCCGAAACCCGGUGAUCUAGCCAUGGGCAGGUUGAAGGUUGGGUAACACUAACUGGAGGACCGAACCGACUAAUGUUGAAAAAUUAGCGGAUGACUUGUGGCUGGGGGUGAAAGGCCAAUCAAACCGGGAGAUAGCUGGUUCUCCCCGAAAGCUAUUUAGGUAGCGCCUCGUGAAUUCAUCUCCGGGGGUAGAGCACUGUUUCGGCAAGGGGGUCAUCCCGACUUACCAACCCGAUGCAAACUGCGAAUACCGGAGAAUGUUAUCACGGGAGACACACGGCGGGUGCUAACGUCCGUCGUGAAGAGGGAAACAACCCAGACCGCCAGCUAAGGUCCCAAAGUCAUGGUUAAGUGGGAAACGAUGUGGGAAGGCCCAGACAGCCAGGAUGUUGGCUUAGAAGCAGCCAUCAUUUAAAGAAAGCGUAAUAGCUCACUGGUCGAGUCGGCCUGCGCGGAAGAUGUAACGGGGCUAAACCAUGCACCGAAGCUGCGGCAGCGACACUAUGUGUUGUUGGGUAGGGGAGCGUUCUGUAAGCCUGUGAAGGUGGCCUGUGAGGGUUGCUGGAGGUAUCAGAAGUGCGAAUGCUGACAUAAGUAA